rnacentral:rRNA from 1 species
GCAUAUCAAUAAGCGGAGGAAAAGAAACCAACAGGGAUUACCUUAGUAACGGCGAGUGAAGCGGUAAAUGCUCAAAUUUGAAAGCUGCCAACAGGCCGCGUUGUAAUUUGUAGAAGAUGCUUUGGGUGUCGGCCCAGUCUAAGUUCCUUGGAACAGGACGUCAUAGAGGGUGAGAAUCCCGUAUGUGAUUGGUGCCGUCCCCCGUGUAAAGCUCUUUCGACGAGUCGAGUUGUUUGGGAAUGCAGCUCAAAAUGGGUGGUAAAUUUCAUCUAAAGCUAAAUAUUGGCCAGAGACCGAUAGCGCACAAGUAGAGUGAUCGAAAGAUGAAAAGCACUUUGGAAAGAGAGUUAAACAGUACGUGAAAUUGUUGAAAGGGAAGCGCUUGCAAUCAGACUUGCAGGCGGUCGAUCAUCCGAGGUUCUCCCCGGUGCACUCGAUCGUCUUCAGGCCAGCAUCGGUUUCCGUGGUGGGAUAAAGGCUGUGAGAACGUAGCUCUUCGGAGUGUUAUAGCUCACGGUGCAAUGCCGCCUACGGGGACCGAGGACCGCGCUUCGGCUAGGAUGCUGGCGUAAUGGUUGUAAGCGACCCGUCUUGAAACACGGACCAAGGAGUCUAACAUCUAUGCGAGUGUUUGGGUGUCAAACCCAUACGCGUAAUGAAAGUGAACGGAGGUGAGAACCCUUUAGGGCGCAUCAUCGACCGAUCCUGAUGUCUUCGGAUGGAUUUGAGUAAGAGCAUAGCUGUUGGGACCCGAAAGAUGGUGAACUAUGCGUGAAUAGGGUGAAGCCAGAGGAAACUCUGGUGGAGGCUCGCAGCGGUUCUGACGUGCAAAUCGAUCGUCAAAUUUGCGUAUAGGGGCGAAAGACUAAUCGAACCAUCUAGUAGCUGUUCCUGCCGA